rnacentral:rRNA from 1 species
UAAGUAAGCGGAGGAAAAGAAACUAACUAGGAUUCCCUUAGUAAUGGCGAAUGAACAGGGAUCAGCUCAGUGCCAAAUCGGAAUCACUUGUGGUUCUGAAAUGUGGCUUGAAGGCAGUACCAGUGGCAUCGCGGACGAAAGUCUCUUGGAAAAGAGCGUCACAGAGGGUGAGAAUCCCGUGAGUCGUUCGCCGUUUGUCACGUACGGUCUGCGUUCUAACGAGUCGCGUUCCUUGGGAUUGGAGCGUAAACGGGUGGUAAAUUUCAUCCAAAGCAAAAUAUAUACUCGAGACCGAUAGCACAAAAGUACCGUGAGGGAAAGGUGAAAAGAACUUUGAGAAGAGGGUUAAAUAGUGCCUGAAAUCGUUGAGAAGGAAGCGGAUGCCGCCGUUGCAUAUGCUGAUUGUAGGAUUGCUGCUCGCUCCUGUCUUCUGCUACUCAUUCACAGACCUGGUCGUGUUGAGCAGUUGUUUGGCAGAUGUUAGUGGUGUUUCCUACUCUCAGUCGUCAGCAUCACUGGCUGAGUGGAAAUAAUCCUUGGAUGCUAAUUGGUUCGCUAUCUGUGAAUUGGUUGCUUCCUUGCGAUACUCACUACUCGGUCAGUGAGGAAGUGCGUUUGCUGGUCAACGAGCUUUCUAACUGUCAUUACCCUGCGCUUUUCGAUUCGUCGAGUGGCCAGGAUGUGGCUUUGAGAUUGUUCGCACUUAGUAAUCGCGAUGCUGGCUUCCAACGGUUGCCUCCGGCCCGUCUUGAAACACGGACCAAGGAGUCUAACGUAUGUGCGAGUGUGUGAGUGGCAAACUUAUACGCGUAAUGAAAGUGAGGCCGUAUGGCCAUGUUGGGGUCACCAACAACCGACCUUGAUCUUCGGUGAAAGGUUUGAGUAUGAGCAUAUCCGUUAGGACCCGAAAGAUGGUGAACUAUGCCUGAGCAGGGUGAAGCCAGGGGAAACUCUGGUGGAGGCUCGUAGCGAUA